UAGGCUGAAACUCGCCUACAUGAAGCUGGAGUUACUAGUAAUCGCAGAUCAGAAUGCUGCGGUGAAUGCGUUCCCGGGUCUUGUACACACCGCCCGUCACACCACGGAAGUUGGGGCGCCCGAAGCCACUUAGCUAACCCUUUGGGAAGCGAGUGUCGAAGGUGAAAUCAAUAACUGGGGUGAAGUCGUAACAAGGUAGC
rnacentral:rRNA from 1 species